rnacentral:rRNA from 1 species
AUACGGAGGAUCCAAGCGUUAUCCGGAAUCAUUGGGUUUAAAGGGUUCGUAGGCGGGUUUAUAAGUCAGUGGUGAAAGUUUGCGGCUCAACCGUAAAAUUGCCAUUGAUACUGUAGAUCUUGAAUUAGUGUGAAGUGAUUAGAAUAAGUAGUGUAGCGGUGAAAUGCAUAGAUAUUACUUAGAAUACCAAUUGCGAAGGCAGGUCACUAACACUAUAUUGACGCUGAGGGACGAAAGCGUGGGGAGCGAACAGGAUUAGAUACCCUUGUAGUCC